CAUGCUUGGGGCAUGAUACAGAAAUCUUUCACAAUAAAAUGGUGCUUCACUUGAUGACAUUAGGAAAGUGUAUUAGGAAAGUUUUUCCAUAAAAUGGAAAAAUUGGCUAAUAUUAAGGUGAGUAGAACGUACCUGAGCCUCGAUGGACGUACCUACUGUGUCUUCUGAGCCUAUAUAUUUAUAGGUUUUAAUAAUUAAUAAUAAUUUAUAAUAAUAAUAAUUUAUUCAGUAAACAUGAGCUAUAUACAGGUAUAAUACAGCUAUAUAUUUUUUUACCCAUGUUAGAAUUACUCGAUAAACUACUCUUUUAACUGCACAACAGUUUUAUCUUUAACUUACCCAUGGGUAAUGACUUAAGCCAGAAAGGGAUGAGAGGAAUAAUAGGAUAGGAAGAUGGGAUCCUGCUGCAAAGUCUAACCUUUGUGUCUUGUGUAAAUAGCUCCUUAAGCUUUGUUUCUUUUUUCCCUCAUAUAUUUUUUCACUUCAUCAGUUUAAUAGUGUUGUUGUGUGUUUUGAUAUAUCUCCAAGGAGGCCCUAGUAAUGAUUCUGAUUCAGUGGAAGUAUGAAAAAAAUGGCCGUUGACACACAGAUUUGUAAAAGAUUUGUUACUGUUCGGCGUGUCAAAUAUUUUGACAUCAUCUUGGAAUAUGUUUUGAAGAAGAAGAAAAAAGGGGAAAACAAAUUUGAAAUUGAACCUUUUACGAUGACGAUAUGCAAGACACAUGAAAACUAUGUUUUUCUUCUUUCCUAGAUCAAGCAUUAGUCAGAAUAAAUGUGACUAAAAUUCUCCUAAGGGGAAAGGAUGCGUGAUGUGAACGACACAUUUGUUUCUGAUAGCAGUUUCUGAUAAGUUCUGACAUGAUCUUUGACCUGUGAAUUGAUGAACUCCAGUGAUGUGAGUCAAGAGAAAAUAUGGAAGACUAAAUUCUCUUUGUUCUAUAGGACUUAUAGUAAAAAAGAUAAAGUGUUUUAAAUUAUUUAUUUGCCAUUUUCUGUUUUUGUAUAUGAAUGGGGUGAUCCUAUUUGGAUAGACAGGUCAUUUGUUUGCUAUUUUCCUUUCGUUUCCUUUAAGUAAAAAAGUGUGAAGAAUAAUUUAUACAAUGCUAAAGCUCAGAUGUGCAAAUGUCUACAGAUAAGUCGGCUGAUUAACAGGAAAUAUCUUUCGUCUAUAUUUUAAUAGAAAGUCUACUGUCAUUUAAAAUAAAUAUUGUUACUUUCUAAUAGUGAAUUCGGAACACGGAUGAUCUUAGAUUGCUCCAGGCAACAGCACUUAUUUCUAUAACCACAGUAUUUCUUAUGAACUAUGCACAGAUUGAUCAAUGAUUAUGCAGAGCGUUACGGAGCAGGAAGAGUAAGCGUCUGCAAUAAUAGCUGUGUUAAAAUGUAAUGUUAUUUUAUGGCCAGUGUGGAGGAGCCAGUAUUUUAUGGCCAGUAUGGAGGAUUCGAUUAAUCAUCCUUAGAGUAAUUUUCCUUACAUUCCACUCUGAUAAGGUAAGGCACUGCCUGAGGCUACAGAAUACAGCACACAGGCUCCUUAACCCAACCCACAGCUAACUAUUUCAACCAAAAAGCCAUCAGAGGUCAUUAUCUGACUCUCUCUCUCUCUCUCUCUCCCUCUCUUUCUCUCUCUCGUUGUCUCUCUCUCUGUCUUGCUCUUUCGCUUUUUUAUUUCUUUUGCCAUAUAUGAAAGCCUCAAAAAAUAAAUAAACACAAACUUUACUUUUUACCUUAGUUCACAGCACUUGGGUAUCUAACCAGUCAAUCAUGUAACAGCAGUACAAUGCAUUAAAUGGUGCAGAUACGGUUAGCAGAUUCCAGGAAAUUGAAACCUGUUGACUUGUCUGAUGAAGCUUGAUUUUAGCUCACACAGAUGGUACAGUCAGAAUUUGGCACCAACCACAUGACUUCAUGAACCCAACCUGCCUAAGGUCAACAGUCCAUGUUGGUGGAGGUGGUGUAAUGGUGUGGUGAAUGUUUUCUUGCCUCACUUUGAGCCUGUUAAAAUCAAUCAAAUAUUGCUUGAAUGCCUUGAGAAUUGAAAAUUGUUGCUGACCACAUGUAUACGUUUCUGGCCACAAUUUACACAUCUUCUAAUGGCCAUUUCCAGCAUGAUAAAAUGUCAAUGAGGUUUUCUACAAUGACCUUCCCAGUCACUGGAUCUGAAUCCAAUAGAUCUGAAUCCAGUAGAUCUGAAUCCCAGUCACUGGAUCUGAAUCCAAUAGAACACCUUCAAAGCAUUACAGGGCACCUGAAAAAUCUGCAGGAACUGCAUGAUGCAGUCACAUCAACAUGGACCAGAAUCUCCAAGAAAUGUUUCCAACAAACUUGUGGAAUCUAUGCCAUGAAGGAUUGAGGCUGAUUAAGAGCAAGGGUGGCGAUGGAUCCAGAGAUUAUCCAAGGAACGCUAGGCAGGAGGUUAAGCUUUAGUGGAAGGGGAAAUGGCAUGUCUGUAGACAGGUGCUUUUGGAGUUUGUUGUGAUGUGAACUGAGGUUCCUCGUUGCCCCGGAGUGGAAUUUAACUGGCAAAGUGAGAGCUGGGUGGAGGGGCUUUGAAAAACUUUUGCGCCCAUGACCCUGAAUGACCUGACUAACACCAGAGCUGCACAACAUGCCUGAAGCAAGUAACACUAGACAGACUUGCCAGGCUUACAUGGCACGCGGCCUACAGCUCAGACAGACCUCUAGGAGCGCUCGCUACAGACGGUGUUGAAAUGCUGGAAAGGAGGCUGCAGGUUACACAGGCCACUUUCCUAAUCACACCUCUAACAGCGGUCAGCUUUUAUCAGCUGUCCGUGUUGUGUCUGGAGCAGUGUGUUGAACUUUGUGAGGAAUGGGACUCUUGGAAAAGGCUCAAGCUCGCCAGUCUUCCCAGCUAUGCAGAAUGCAGAGAGGAACACGCCCUGCAUUUCUACGCACGGAAAACAAUAGCUAUGGCGAAAAUGUGAGGAUGCCAUCUCUGUCGGACGUCACCACCACGAAAUGCUAGGCUCAGCCAUUUCGUUUCUUCACUAGUGAGAUAUUUUGAUUGAUGUCAGAAACAUAGCACACAUUUUGCACAUGAUUAGAGUUCUUGUGUGGUUAAAUCCAUUACUGGAGUAAAAAAGAUGUGUAACAGGCACGGACAAUAGAGCAGAUCUGACCAGUUCUUAGCUCUCUAGGGUUUUUUUAACGAAUGAAAUAUUGCACAAGUGUAGUAUAUGGGCAACAAGCUAAUGUGUUUCAGCAUCUCAUCCAUGAGAAUGGCUUCACUGUAGCCUUGCAUGAAAAAAAAACAUAGAUAGGAGUCACAGGAUAACCAACCUAGUGAUUAUUUUGAGCCUGUCUAAUAGCUACAGGAAUGUCUUUUAUUUGUGUAUGGUUUAUUUUGUCAAGGGCGAAUUACAGCAGAACAGCACAGCAGCUGGCAAUAUGAAACCAUUUCGACAUGCGUUUUGCUGAAAUCUUCCUGUAAUUCAUACUAGGAACAGGAGAUAACUGAUUACAUGAAUCAUGGCUGCUUGUUACACCUGUCAGCUCAGGUGGGGGAGGAAAAUAUGGAAGAGAGGGAGAGGGAGAAAACAACACCUACAUUAGAUAAAGAUCUUCUCCAUGCUAGGUAGGCGUUUGUCAUUUGGAUGGCUUUGACUAGAGCUGUGUUCUGUAGAAAUCAUCCUCAUCUACAGUGACAACAUAAAUAAGGGUGUUCAGCACUGAUUUUCUCAUGCAGAUAUGAACACUCUUCUGUAAUUUGGGUGAUUUCGAACAAAUCUGCUGACAUGGUCCCAUAAUAAUAUCUUUAGCUUUGUGUAUGUUUGGUAGUCUGGGAAAGCAUGUCAGAUUUCACCAUGGCAAUUCAGGCUAAAUAAAUAAACAAUCAAGGUUUUGAGCACAAUUGGGAUUUUCUGCCAAUAACACAUUUUGUGUCCUAAACAUUAAGAAAAUAUAUUUCACCAACAAUAUGUAGAAGCAUUUUUACUUUUUUUAGGCUAACAUUAUGACAAGCAAUAAGCCAGUUAAACCAACACAGUGGUAAGAACAGGCUAAAGAGAUCUAAAACCUUGUUAGCUACGUGUGCUUUCCUCACACAGUGACUGGUAGGCAUUGAUCAACGAUUCUGAUAGCUGUGUGCCAUAGUGAAACAGGCGUAAGCUUUUAAUCAGAUACCGGCUGUCACACCAUCAUCAAAACAGAGCAGGCACUUAAACACACUGUACAGAAGGAUUUUAAAUGCUUUUAAAUGACCUGAUAGAACUAUGGUCAAUAGUACAUGCCACUGAGUUAGUCAGCUAUUAUUUCAGCAUGAGAAGAGAUGUGAAGAGACAAUACCUUUCUGGCAUUUGACAGACGCCCUUAUCCAGAGCGACUUACAUUUUUCUCAUUUAAACAACUAAGCAUUAAGGGCCUUACUCAGGGGGCCAGCAGUGGCAGCUUGGUGGACCUGGGAUUCAAACUCACAACCAUCCAAUCAGUAGUACAACAACUUAACCACAUCUACCACAUCCCCAAGCCUCCAAUACUGAGACCUCUGUUUAAAUGCUGCAAGACACUGACGAUAUAUAGAAAGCUGAUGUUUGAAAUGUUCACAUAUUUCCCAUCAUAAACCGUUUUCAUAAUUUUUUUCCUGAAAAUUAUUUUGUAUUAAAGUGUAAGUAGAUUAAGUUACAAAUGUAGAGGUGAGCAGGGCUUGCUGUAGCCCCAUGUUACCUCAGGAUAAUCUUAAAACUGGUUAAGAUCUAACUGAUAUAAUAUAAGAGUUGACAUCAGGGAGUUAUUAGGGAGUCAAAAAAUGACUUUUAAUAUAAAUGCAAUAAAUUCUAUAAAAGGAGAUUAAACAGGAAUGACAGCUGGAUUUGCAGGACCUCUAAAUACUUACAUUACAUUACAGUACAAUAGCCUGUUAGUCACUAUGUUGUGAAUCAAGGCUGAUGAGUUUUCAUGGUUAUUUUUUAACUUUGUAGUCAUGUUUAUUACAUAAUGAAUGCAAAUGCUAAUUAGUUAAAAGUAUUUGUAAUGCAUUAAAAUGCAAUUUUUUUUAUCCUUUUCACUUUUGUAGAGAGAGAGAGAGUAUUGGUAUUUUAUAUAAUAUUGAUAUAACAUGUAAAGUACAUAUAUAGUAUUGUCAUUUCUGAUAUAUCUUCAAAAAACCCAAUAAAAUGCAGUUAGGCUGCAGAAGCUGCAGGGCAGGGGGACCUAAAGCCUGAUGACAGGCGGGUUUGGUGGGGGGGCUUAUCAUUAGUGGCAGAAAGAGCAGAUGCUUCUAAGGGGGCCCUCCUUAAGCCCCGGAGGUGCGUUCACACUCACUCUAUCCCUGCCGUGACUCCCAGCAAUCUUAAACUUUUUAGCCUGCUGUGUAAUCCAAGCCUUGAAAAUGCACCCACAAUACAACCCCUGCAUGCCCGGCUGCUUGGAGUUCUCCACAUUCUGUAGUUAAUAAGAAAACUGCAAUAGAAACACAUUCUUCAGUGAUCUCAAUCAUUUUUGCAGAUGUACUGUGCAAUAAAAAUAGAGUCCAUUUGGCGCACAGUGCCGUAUAUACACAUCUAUAUCUUUAAUUUAUGUGUGUCAUGCACCUGCAUGUUUGUGUAGCAUCUCUGCAUUUCAUCACACAGAUCUCAGUUUUAUCCCGUGUGAAGUACUACGUAAGUAAUUCUUCAUACAUGUGAUUGUUUGCCAACAGGGGGCAAUGCAUGCCUUUCUGCAACAGCAAUGUAAUGCAAUCAGUCCCGAUGCACUUUCUGUUUAGUCAGCAAAACUGCCUCUCAGCAAAACAAGGUCUCUGCCCUCAAGUAUUUAAACAAGCAGUUAUUCUCUUUCACUUCACCCAUUAUUCCUGACAGUAAUAUGAAUUCUUACGGUGGAGCUCACUAUUCAAGAAUGUUCUAGUUGCCCUUUCAGAAUGAGUAAUAAAAUGUAAGUCGUUCAUCUCUGUGAUUUCUUGCCACUGCUCAAACUCGGUUUUACACUAACAAGCAGAAAUAAAUUUCUGCCUAUAACCAAAGCUAAUAAAAGUGGUGUUGAACGCCCUGUGACCAGGAGCAUUGGCCAUUCCUGUCCGUUUCAGGCCUGGAGCUCUAUAGUCUUAAUCCUCUCCUGACAAGUGGGAGAGUUUAUGAGCGAGGUCAGACAAGAGUGUGAGUUCAUGGAACACUAACCCCACAGCGCACACUGCUGCCUCCUGACACCCUCGUCCCUCAUCUCUUUCUGCCCUCAAGCUUCUCCCUACUUGACCUCUUGAAGCAGGGCAAGAGUUUGAUGUGUUGCUGCUUAAAACAAUCUCCAUACAGCAUCCCUCUUUCUACCUGCAUCUACCCAGUGCAACAUACGUCUUUGCUUUAUACACUUUCACUAUCUUUCUAGUCCUGACCCCACCAACCCGACACAUACCUAAUCUCUGUUCUUCUGUUCUUUUCACACCCUUCCAUUGGGAAAACUUGCCACUGUGUCCCCAGCAACCCUUAUAACACAAAUAUGUCUUCCUCAAAAUUUUUGGCAUGUAUCCUCACAGUCUGUAAAGAGAUUUGACAGCUGUGGGCUUAUGGUUUACAAUAAACAUGCUAGCAUUCCCCCCGUUGCCUCUCUGGGCACUUGAGACGCAUGGUAAAUAUUUUUUCAGUACAGAGAGGGAGAGGCUGGUUUUGCAGGAUUGACACUUUGCCAGCUAGUGUGAGACACUCAUCUCAUAAUUGGCAUUAAUAACCUGGGUGGUGCAGAGAGCUUGAGGUGCCUCUGCUAAGUGGAAUCACAUCUGUAAGUCGGGGGAUUCUUGUGGUCUUUUGCUAUUAUUAAUCUCAGCAAGUGAUUUGCCACCUGGUGGUGUAUAGAGAGAAUACAGGACCCGGGUUUGACCAAAGCACAUGGUCACUGGAGUUCUUACACCCCCUUACCACCACCACCACCCCAAAAAUCCUGAAAAAAAAACAAGGUAAUGCCACAAGCCUACACACUGCUCACACACUAAAGCCAAAAACAUUACAAAAGAAAGACAUAACAAUCACGAGUUACUGAUCAGACCGGAAAAGGGAGUCUUGUUUAAGUGACACACUACAAGUAAUGUAACUGCACACAAAAUAGGCUUACUUUACACAAAGUAAACUUUCUGUGCAUGAGACCUGCAUUUUCUUCUAACUUAAAAUGCUUCCCAAUUCAAAAGAACCACACUUUUAAAAUACAUAAGCUACAUCUCAGAUGCAGAACUGUUUAAAAAUAAAUGCCAAAUUUAGAAUACCCCCUGAACAACAUUAACACAAUUCUAUAACACUUGAAUGUUUGUAGUUUAUAUUUCUCCACUCAGACUCAUGAGGAGUCCAGUCCAGUGGUUCUCGCACAUGUGCUAUGGAGAUCCUGCUCUUCCUAAGAUGAUCCUGAUAAGCGGAACGAGGCUUGCUGAACGCUUGAUUGAUGGCUUGUUUUUCCCGGAGCGAGCGGCACAAUGGCAGCAGGUCUGUUGUUCUGUGCGAUUCGGAGCAGCAUUGGGGGCAGCGACGUGAUGACACAAGGGGUCAACUUCUGUCUGCCCAGCUCUCAUCACCCUCUUGCUCCUGUCAGCUUCACACAAUAGCCACCGAGUUGCACUGGACACAGAGAAGCCACUUUCAAUCGUAUAAAGCAGAGAUCAUCAACUAGUGGACCCAGAAAAGUAUUUUAACGGAAAAUAAUGUUGAUUUAAAAACUUUUGUAAACACGAUCCAGUUCUUCUGUAGCAGAUCAUCUGUCAUGGCUUAUCCAAUCACGUGACUUUUCAUAAAUUAUUUCACUGAAGGCAGCUCAUCAGAAAGGGAAGAAUCUGCUGAGUGAAUUGAGACACGGCUUGCACAAAAAUAAGAAAAGCUCAUGCCAAAAAUAACAUUUAAAGUUUACAGAUGAACAGAAAGAGAAGUGUGUGUGUGUGUGUUCUUCUCCUCAAGUUUAAAUCCAGUUUGAAUUGAUGUGCAUUAUUAAUAGGCAUAAACGAAUCAUUAAGUAUUAUGCAAUUAAGUAAUAAAGUAGCUUUUGUCAAUGUUCUAUAAUGAUAGCUGUUACUCUGGUUCUUCGUAAAAACUUUUAACUUUACUUAAUGUUUUAGUCUAAGUUUUAUUUGUAAUUUAAAACCCGAUCAGUUUACAAAAGUCCCAUCUGAAGCCAAUUUCUGUUUGGUGUUGUUUUUAGAUGUUUGUGUCGUUGCUACAGCCAACCUGUGGGUCAGCAACGAUGUGUACCCAGGUGUUUGUGUGUGUUUUAAUUUUUAUAUAUAUAUAUUUGUGCAGGCGACAUCUGUGGCAUCAGAUAACAGUUUAGAGCAGAACGUUUUGAUGGUGGAAGCUGGUAAAAAGACAUUUUUUUUAACAAUUGAGCAGAUUUGUUUGAUGUAAUGUCACACUAUUUUAUUUGCAAACAUGCUACCUGGAUCAGGGCAUGCUGGGAAGCUCUUAGUUUGCAUGGCAAAAUAAAAAAAAGAUGUUGCAACCCUACGUGGUUUUAUGAAUUCGUGCUAUUUGCAUUGAUAGCAUUUGUACCUGCAGUGUAUCGAGCAGAUUGUUAAUGUUCUAGCUCUAUAGUUACCUUGAACACACUCUAGGCUAGCUGGAUUAAUUCCUCCUGAACUGCUCUUGUCUUGUGUGCAAUCAGCCCUGAAGGCAUAUAGCAGUGAUCUACACAUUCUGAGAGAGGUCUGAGAGAAUCCACAGCUCUCAAAGCCUUAAGCAAAUCUGUCCUGCAUCUCGUCAUCCUUAAACACAGACAGUCUUAAACAUACACCAGCACCCAGACACUGACUCGCACUCACACCCAAAAACCAGAGAGAAAAACUUCUAGAAAUUACUCCAACAGCUCCGUUUGUCAUUUCUUAUGGUAACUCAGUUACCUGACACACGUUGAGCCUCGAUGAUCAGGGGUUUUUUUUCCAGAAAUUUAUAGGUGUAAAUGUUUUCGUAGGCCAAGCUAAACUAAAUUUCGGUAACACUGAUUAUUUAUUUUUACUUACACGAUUGUGUCACCUUCAUGGCAACUGAUUUACAUUUUUUCUCCAUAAAAGGCAAAGCUCACAGAGAGCUGAAAAAAGACAAAGUGACUAAUCAGUAGAAGAGUGCCUGAAGUAUUGCAGUUCAGACUCGUCUACCACAGACACACACUCCUUCUCCUUUUAUUGGACUGAAGAAAGCAAUAAGAACAAAUCCAUAAUUAAAGACAAAUAAGACUUAAUCAUUCAUUUAGGACGACAGAGCAUUUCUUCUAUCCUAAUUGAAUGACUAGGCUUGUUUGUCUUAAGUUAUGAAUGGUUUUUGUUUUUAUCACUGGCUUUCAAGUCAUUAAAAUUAAAUGACUCACAAUUUUCAUUCAGUUUGUCUGUAAUUGAAAUCAAUAAGCUACUUAACUUUGUCGGCGUAAUCUGAAGAGAAAUUCGCAGUAAAUUCUCAUAAGUCAAGAAGCGUUUAUUGUCAUUUCAAUCAUAUAUAGCUGAUGCAGUACCACGUUUCUCCAGGAGCUUGGUGCUACAUAAAACAACAUAGAGCUACAUAAAUCAAUACAGAGCUAAGGACUAAAAUAUAAGGGAGUCUCCAUGUACAUAAAUAUUGACAAGUUCAGGAAUUUCAUGAAUGCUACAUUUCAUGCGUAAAUGCUCCUGUGAAUAAUUUUCAGAUACAUUUGUUCAUCUCCAGCUUGAUAACCGAGGCUUAUUGAGUAUCAACUCCGUAUGGAAACAAUAGGGACAAAUACAGCAUGUGGUUUUUAUGUCACAUUCUGAGUGACCGAUGAUACAGGGUCUAAAGAUCAAGAUUAGUUUACUGUAGUCAUUAAAAUAUGCAUUACUCUUUGUGGCACAUAAGAACUAAACGAUCCCAAAUGAGAAGGAAAAAAAAUGCUCACUGUUUUCUUAUCCAGAAACAAUCGCAGAUACAUAUAUCAGGUAGCAGGAACUAAGGCUGUAUUUAAUACGUCCCAUUGACCACGGCUGUAGUUUACAUUCCUCCAGCAUAUGAACCCUUAUUCCCACCAGCACUCUAGUGAUGCUGUACUGAUAUGCUACAGAGUCCCUAAACAUGGCUGGGACGACAGGAGACAAAGACAGUUUUUGUCAUUUUAACUCUGCUAAGUUAUGUAGGACGUAGUGUGGAAAUAAAUACACUUCUAUGUAUCCCUGUAUCUAGUGCAUCCAGAUCCUUAAAAUCUCAGGAGUUGCCUUAUGACUUGCUUGUAUAUUCAUCCCUCUCCUCUGUGUAGUCAUUCCUCUUUCAAAAAACAAACAGUGCUCUUAGUUUCCAUGUAGUUUCUAAAUAACUAAGCACUCAGAGUCUAAGUAGUUGAAUAAAAAUGAUUAAUCUACAGGACUUAUUCAUAAAUACAUGUGUAAACCCCAUAUUUCCUUUUCCCUCUGUUUAUUAAUCACAGGUCAUGUUAGAAUUAUGAGAAUGUGAAUGUGAAAUAACCCCAAAUAUUCUUAUAUGAUGGACACAAGAUAUAAACAGCAGUGUAAGUAAAGUUCUGGUCAUUUUCUGUUAAAGUGAAACACUGACGCAAAAAGUACAUGUUAGAAUUUUAUUUAAAUUCCACUAUAUUGCCUAACUAUUUGUUUCACUUCACUAAACAAUCUCUUUUUUGAAAAUCAUCACUUUUUUUUGUACUAUUUUUGCACUUCGGUAUAUUUUUACCCGAUUAUUUUACUUUUAGUAGUUUCCCCCAUAUUUUUUCGAACGUUUCCGUAUUUUUAUUUUCAUUUAAUUUUUUGCACGUCACUAUUUUUUUGUAUGUUGUUAUUUUUCUUACAGUUCACUAUAUCUCUCCCACCCAUUUCUUAACUAUAUUAGAUUUUCUUCACAAUGUGCACUUCACAAUACUUUCCCAUAUUUCUCCCUGUUUUUAACGUCACACUGUUUACCCCUUUUUUCCUAUUGACUAGAUUUUUGCACCUCACUAUAU